rnacentral:rRNA from 1 species
UAGGGAAUAUUGCUCAAUGGGCGAAAGCCUGAAGCAGCAACGCCGCGUGCGCGAUGAAGGUCUUCGGAUCGUAAAGCGCUUUUCUGCGAGAUGAGAAAGGACAGUAUCGUAGGAAUAAGUCUCGGCUAACUACGUGCCAGCAGCCGCGGUAACACGUAGGAGGCGAGCGUUAUCCGGAUUCACUGGGCGUAAAGCGCGUGCAGGCGGUUUGGUAAGUUGGGCGUGAAAUCUCCCGGCUCAACUGGGAGAGGUCGUUCAAUACUACCGGACUAGAGAGCAGAAGAGGAAGAUGGAAUUCCCGGUGUAGUGGUGAAAUGCGUAGAUAUCGGGAGGAACACCAGUGGCGAAGGCGAUCUUCUUGUCUGUUUCUGACGCUCAGACGCGACAGCUAGGGUAGUAAACGGGAUUAGAGACCCCGGUAAUCCUAGCCGUAAACGAUGUGAACUUGGCGUCGGUGGCUUAAACACCAUCGGUGCCGCAGCAAACGCGAUAAGUUCACCGCCUGGGGACUACGGCCGCAAGGUUA